rnacentral:rRNA from 1 species
CGGGUGAGUAAUGUCUGGGAAACUGCCUGAUGGAGGGGGAGUAACUACUGGAAACGGUAGCUAAUACCGCAUAACGUCGCAAGACCAAAGAGGGGGACCUUCGGGCCUCUUGCCAUCAGAUGUGCCCAGAUGGGAUUAGCUAGUAGGUGGGGUAACGGCUCACCUAGGCGACGAUCCCUAGCUGGUCUGAGAGGAUGACCAGCCACACUGGAACUGAGACACGGUCCAGACUCCUACGGGAGGCAGCAUG